GAUGAAGAACGUAGCGAAAUGCGAUAAGUAAUGUGAAUUGCAGAAUUCAGUGAAUCAUCGAAUUUUUGAACGCACCUUGCGCCCCUUGGUAUUCCGAGGAGCAUGCCUGUUUGAGUGUCAGUAAAUUCUCAAACCCUUCCAGCUUUUUGUAGUUGGCUCUGGGUCUUGGAUGUGGAGGUGUUGCAGGCCUUUUUGAGGUCAGCUCCCCUGAAAUGCAUUAGCAGAACCGUUUGCAAUCCAUCACAGGUGUGAUAAUUAUCUACGCCAGUGGGUUGCUCUCUGUCACUGUUCAGCUUACAAUUGUCCCAUUCUUGUGGACCAACUAUUGCUGAUUCUUUGACCUCAAAUCAGGUAGGACUACCCGCUGAACUUAAGCAUAUCAAUAAGCGGAGGA
rnacentral:misc_RNA from 1 species